rnacentral:rRNA from 1 species
AAUAGAUACCCGGGUAGUCCGCGCCGUAAACGAUGGAUACUAGCUGUUUGAGCGCAAGUUUGAGUGGCUAAGCGAAAGUGAUAAGUAUCCCACCUGGGGAGUACGGGCGCAAGCCUGAAACUCAAAGGAAUUGACGGGGGCCCGCACAAGCGGUGGAGCAUGUGGUUUAAUUCGAUGAUACGCGAGGAACCUUACCAGGGCUUAAAUGUAGAUUGACGUAUUUGGAAACAGAUAUUUCUUCGGACAAUUUACAAGGUGCUGCAUGGUUGUCGUCAGCUCGUGCCGUGAGGUGUCAGGUUAAGUCCUAUAACGAGCGCAACCCCUGUUGUUAGUUGCCAGCGAGUAAUGUCGGGAACUCUAGCAAGACUGCCAGUGUAAACUGUGAGGAAGGUGGGGAUGACGUCAAAUCAUCACGGCCCUUACGUCCUGGGCCACACACGUGCUACAAUGGCCGGUACAGAGAGCAGCCACUUAGCGAUAAGGAGCGAAUCUAUAAAGCCGGUCACAGUUCGGAUCGGAGU